AGGUGAUCCACACAGACCUAUCCCUGGCUCUCACUGGGAACUGCAGAAAGCCUCUAUCAAAGAAAGAUGGAGUAGGGGGCUCUGGUUUAAAGAAAAGGUGCGGAAUCAGUCUUGUCAGCAGCUGCCUAGUUCCUCUUUUCCAAGACACCUCUUUCCUCUUUCCCUGAAAGGCACCUGCUGCUCCCCAGUGCCUAAACGUCUGCUCACUUCUUCAGGCAAAAGCUAUCUUCAGGCGAGUUUCAACUUGAAGGUGUUAAUUGCCUACACCAGGGCGUUUGAGUGCUUGUCUAAUUUGCUCUGGAAAACUGGGUGUUGCCUCCCCUAAAGGAAUCUCACUGUGAGCAGGUGUGUCAGGUCCUUCCAGAGGGCAACUCUGGGGCUGUUGCUGAGCUGGGCCGGAUGGGCCAGGAGUGCAUCUGACCUCCGUGCCAUUUCCUCACACGGGGUGGGCUGAUAGGCUUUGACAGAACCAAAUCUAAAUCUGCUGAACAAAAGCCCUGGGUUUAACGAACUCUUUCCUCCCUCAUCCAGGGACUAUCCCAAAGUACUGGUUCCAUAAAUGAAUAUUGAGCUUAAAUAGAGUAAAUAAAUAAAUAAAUAAAUAAAUAAAUAAA
rnacentral:lncRNA from 1 species